CGGCACAUCCCCGACGGGGACGGCGACCACCUCCCAUUUUUCAUCCGCAGUCUCCGCCGCCUUCUCGCCAUUGGCUGGGAGGGUGGACCAUGUUUUCGUGGACUACUUCGACAACAAUCCCCAUCAAAUCUGUCGGGAACAGAAACGACCCCCUCCAAGCGCACCCAGAAGACUUUGUGAAGGAGCAGACUUUGUGAAGGAGCUGAAGACGUACUUCGCAGACGUCGGCGCCUUUGAGCUGCCAGAGGAAGAGGUCUCUGACUCUGAGCUGGAGCGAGAACUGAAUCUGAUCCCAGAAUAUAUGACUUUUCUUUUUUUUUCCUGUAUAGAAGUAGUUUACUAGAAUCACGCAGAUCCAUAGUAAGAGUGUGAUGGUAGUUGAAGCAAACGCUGCUGGCAGGAUGAUGGUUGCUGGCAUCAGAAUUCAGAACUGAUGUUCCUUCUUGUCUUUGUUUGCUUCGCUUCAGUUGCUUGGCAAUUUGGAACCAGGAAUGGUUCCUAUCCAGACAAAUACAUUUUGUAGGGGAUGGAAUGGUUCCUGGAUAGGAUUUGAAGCAGACCAGGAUCGAGUGAAGGAAGGGGAUUCACUCGAUCAUGGCCCUGAACCGUUCCUGGACGG